GGAAAAAUACACUAAACAUCUAGUAGAACAAAAAUACAUCAUAUAUCUAAGAAAAGAAACAGAUAAAAACCUCGAAUAUCUUAGGGUUUCGGAGAAACCGUAUAAAUGAGAAAGGCUUGGAAGAGAGUUAGAUCUCGAGUCGCAGAGGUCAGAAAAGGCUUCUAGUGCUUCAAUAUGCCGGAGCAUGGCUGGAGAGGCCAUAGAACUAUAGAUCUGAGAAGAUCUAAGAGAGAAACGUCAAAGUCAGACUUCAAAACCUCGAACACCCAAGGUUUAAUGGUGGAGAGGGGUGAAUAUAGACCAUCCAUGGCCUAAGAAGCCAUGGAUUCCGCUGAAAGUAUGGUGAAAAAAAGGUAGGAGAUGGUUAGGGUUCCGAAGAACCUUUGAGAGAGUUUGAGAGACGAAAUGGUUCAAAG
rnacentral:lncRNA from 1 species